GAGGUAAUCCACGCCACCAUGUUGAGGAUGGCUACAUAGAGCAUUUGGAGAAUAUCAAGUGGCUCACUGGAGAAAAGGUUGAGCCGAGGGCACAGCUGGCUCUACAGUCAGCUUCUGAUAAAGGUCUGACUGAAAAUAAUAUCAAGCCGAGGGCACCGCUGGCUCUACAAUCAGGAGCCAUAAGGAAGAAUCGUUCCAACCGGGAUGCCACUGA